UACGUAGGAGACGAGCGUUGUCCGGAGUUACUGGGCGUAAAGGGCGCGCAGGCGGCCUGUCAGGUGUCUGGUGAAAGCUCCCGGCUUAACUGGGAGAGGUCCAGGCAAACCGUCAGGCUUGAGCGUCGGAGAGGGGCAUGGAAUUCCGGGUGGAGCGGUGAAAUGCGUAGAGAUCCGGAGGAACACCAAUGGCGAAGGCAGUGCCCUGGCCGACGGCUGACGCUCAGGCGCGAAAGCGUGGGGAGCAAACAGG
rnacentral:rRNA from 2 species